UGAGGAAUAUUGGUCAAUGGGGGCAACCCUGAACCAGCCAAGUCGCGUGAAGGAUGAAGGUCUUAUGGAUUGUAAACUUCUUUUAUACAGGAAUAAAUUGGGGGACGUGUCCCCUUUUGCAUGUACUGUAUGAAUAAGGAUCGGCUAACUCCGUGCCAGCAGCCGCGGUAAUACGGAGGAUCCGAGCGUUAUCCGGAUUUAUUGGGUUUAAAGGGUGCGCAGGCGGGAUGUUAAGUCGGCGGUGAAAUUUUGCAGCUCAACUGUAAAAGUGCCUUCGAUACUGGCCUCCUUGAGUGUGGAUGAAGUAGGCAGAAUUUGUGGUGUAGCGGUGAAAUGCUUAGAUAUCACGAGGAACUCCGAUUGCGCAGGCAGCUUACUAAGCCACAACUGACGCUCAUGCACGAAGGCGUGGGGAUCAAACA
rnacentral:rRNA from 1 species